AAAUAAUGAUUUUAAUUGAAUGCUAAGAGAAUGGAAGUCCAGAAAAAAACUUUUUUUAAAUUAAAAAUUGAAGUUUUUUUAAUUUGUGCAGAAACAAUUAUUUAUAUUAAAGACAAGAAGACCCUAUGAAUUUAUUAAAUUUUUAUUUAAUAUGUAAUUACUAUUAGAAAAAUUUUGGCUGGGGCGGCUAGAAAAUAUUAUGAACUUUUUAAAAAUAAAAUGAUCCAUUAUUAAUGAUUUUAUGUUAAAUACUCUAGGGAUAACAGCGUUAUAUUUUUUGAUAGAUCAUAUUGACAAAAAAGUUUGCGACCUCGAUGUUGGAUUAGGAUACUUUUUUAAUGAAGAUAUUAAAAAAAGAAGUUUGUUCAACUUUUAAUUUCCUACUUGAUCUGAGUUCAGACCGGA
rnacentral:rRNA from 1 species